GGAAUCGCUAGUAACCGUGAAUCAGCCUCGUCACGGUGAAUACGUUCUCGGGUUUUGUACACACCGCCCGUCACACCAUGGAAGUGGUUAAUACCCAAUAUCUGCGCAAGCGGACUAAGGUAAGAAUCAUGACUGGGGUGAAGUCGUAACAAGGCAUCGGUAGCGGAAGCUGUCGAUGGAUCACCUCCUUUCUAAGGAGAAUUCUG
rnacentral:rRNA from 2 species